UACCCCGCGGUGGCGGCCCAGACACGCUCCGGGAUGCCCCGCGGUGGCGGCCAAGACGCGCUCUCGCGAUAUCCUGCGGUGGUGGCCCAGAAGCGCUGUCGCGAUACCCCGCGGUGGCGUUGGGGUGACUGGGCGGGCCGCAAGCCGGGACGCAGUUUCCGAGCACAGAGAUGACAGAAAAUAAAAGCGGUGCGUUACCUCCGCCAACCAUUUCCUUUGCUCAUUUGGAUGGGAAGCCGCCACUCCUUUGUGCCAGAGGCUGUGCUAAGUGACAUAACUGUGAGCUGCAGGGGGAAAUCCAGGAUAUCAAAGCUGUGCAGCUGGCGGCAAUGUCAAAGCCAGGAAGACCCCUCCACUUGGUGCAAUUGCAUCUGAAAUAAACCUGUGCAGACACCA